rnacentral:rRNA from 1 species
UACGUAGGGGGCAAGCGUUGUCCGGAUUUAUUGGGCGUAAAGAGCGUGUAGGCGGUUAUGCAGGUCCGCUGUGAAAACUGGAGGCUUAACCUCCAGACGUCGGUGGAAACCGUAUGACUAGAGUCCGGAAGAGGAGAGUGGAAUUCCUGGUGUAGCGGUGAAAUGCGCAGAUAUCAGGAAGAACACCCGUGGCGAAGGCGGCUCUCUGGGACGGUACUGACGCUGAGGUGCGAAAGCGUGGGGAGCAAACAGG